UAUACGCUUAAUUUUCGAAUGGUAAAGUCGAAAAGCGGGGGAACCAUUUUUUGGGGCGAAUCGUUGUAAAUACACGUAGGGAACCAUCUUUCCCGAGUCCGUCAGCUAACCUCGUCAGCAG
rnacentral:sRNA from 1 species